rnacentral:tRNA from 1 species
GGGAAAAAAGCAUUAAAUAUAUGCGGUUGACUUGAAAUCAACAGAUGGUGGUUAAAUUCUGCCUUUUCUCG